AGAGGGGAAAACAGAUAAUAGAUACUGGCAAAUAAUCUACACAGACUACUAUAAUUGUGUAGUAUUUUAUUCAAACACGCUAGGAUACCAAGUGUGGGUACGAUCAGACUAUUUGACAAAGUUAAGAAGCGUACCCCCAGUCUGUGAGCUUGUAUACGACCUCUUAGCAC
rnacentral:lncRNA from 1 species